CUUAGCUUACUCACCCUUAGUUUCCUUUUCACCCAUUUCCACAUAUUUUAUGUAUUUUCAUAAAAUGACUCAGCCUUUUGGGAAAUUAGGUGUGGUAUAACAUAAUAGAAGGAAAAAAUGGAGAAUGAUAUACUACAGAAACUACCGUGUUGAUACAUACAAAGAAAGGCUCUUUUAAAAGCCCAGAGUAUGUCAUGCUGAGCAUCAUCCUUGAAAACAGCAAGAUCGACUAGAGGGAGAAGAAAUGUGGCUAAAAGAUGGAAAGGAUCGAGUCCUGAUGUUUGUCCCUGUUUCUGUUGAAGUCAUUCUGUGACCUAAAAUCAUUUCUGAUCACUAGGUUUCACAAUUAUUGACAGAGAAUACCUACUGUACUCUGUUCAAUUACUUUAUCUGUUAAAAUUUCACAUCAGUAAUAACCCUAACUUUUACAAAUUCUAAGCAAGAUCUUUGAAAUCUUCCCAUUUGAGUUCAGGCACAUCACUAUAGGCUGGUUUUGGGAGAUAGCAAAAAAAGAGAAAGAAUGAGCUAUUCCAUUCCCAGGAGUACUGUGUACUGGGUCGGAAUGGGGAAUUGUAUCACUGUAUGCUGAACUUUUGGAAUGCCCACAGCAUAAAUUCUGACAAUGUCAGUGUAUUUGAAUGAACACAAAUUUCAAAGUUGAGUAGUUUGUUGGAUGUGGUGGUCUCUCAGCAUUCUACUUUCCCAUUAUUUUAUACCUCUUGUUCAUUUAAUUGGGAAUUAACUGUGGUUUAAAUCUAUGAAAAAUAUCUUGGGCAUAUGGAGAAAGAACAAAUGUCCAAAGUUGCCUUUUUAAAAGUGUUUCAUUUUUUUAAAUUGACAAAUAAAGUUAUAUAUAUCUAUCAUGUACAACAUGAUGUUUCAAAAUGUAUAUACAUAGUAGAAUUCCUAACCCAAGCUAAUUAACAUGUGCAUUACCUUACAGAGAUUUUAAGUGUUCUCACCACAAAAAAAAACUAUAUAAGGUUAUGCAAAGUUGACUUUUAUCUUAACUAUUUACAAUGUAUAUAAAAGUAUGACAGUAUAUGUACAAGUCUUAAAGUCCUAAAUAUCCUUUUAAAAAAUGCAAAGAUUCCAUAUAAUUCCUGAGCUUUCCUCAUGUAUAUUGCUAUACAACUUCAGGAAAAAUGUCAUACCAACUAUUUCUGUAUCUAAACAGAUUUCCCAACAAAAAGAAAAAAGAGCAAGUUGUCUCAGGAACAAUGGUAGGACAUAAGUUAUCUGACUGUAUCACUUGGGAUUGAAAAUUAAAGGCCUGUUUCCAUAAUGGAACUAUUUUGAGGAAUUGACAUUACUGCCGUAACAACAAAUAAUUCACAGGUAUCUUUAACUGACUCUAAAGCCUCUAGAUACUGAAUUAGAUGAUGUACACUUCCAAUAAAAGAGAAUAGGCUGCAUCUUGCUGCUUCAGCUAAUUGUGGAUUUUUAUUUCAUGUUUUAUUAGAGGGAGUAUCAUAAUCCUUUCUUUCCAUCCAUUCCAUAAUCCAUCCUUUCCAUGUUGGGUCAAAUUUUCUUAUCCUAACCUGAAAUACUGCUUUUGUUUCACACUCUGCCCAGGUAUUAAGGGAAUAACUAAGAUUCAGGUAGUCAUUUUACUAGAAAGUCAUUUAAAUGAUGUGUUCAAAAAAGAGGUCACUUACCUAACUUAACCAUCACCACAAGUGGAAGAGAUGUCUGAAUUGGUAACUCCUUUCGCCAAUUUUCUUGUAAACAAUGUCACACAAAUGAAUCUGAACACAAAUACUGUCUCUAUAUAAAUGUGCUUGUACAUAUAUGCAUACACUGACAGCAACUCAUGAAUUAUUAAAUUAGCAAGGAACACAUUUUUCACCUAAGUUUAUUAGUCAUCAUUUUUUAAUGAUGCCUCUACACUCACUUGGAGCUGCCUCCUGGUCUUACUUUUUUAAAGUUUAAACAUUAUAACAUUGUUUUGGGACUACCAUGGAUAAAAAUAAAAUAUAAAUACAAAUAAGUAUAAAUACAAUGUAUAUAAAUUAUAUAUAUGUGUGUCUGUGUGUAUAUAUAUAUAUAUAUGUGUGUGUGUGUGUGUGUGUGUGUGUGUGUAUGUAUGUAUAAUCAUCCACAAAGAGUGAUGGGGGAUAAAUGAAAACAAACUGUUGCAAAGCAAAGUUUCCAUAUUUUAUAAGUAGAAAAACUAACUCUAAGUAGAUUGGAAUAAAUAUACAUAUUAUAAUCCCUAAUAACACCCCUAAAAUGAAUGUACAGUACUUAAAUGACCAUAAAGAGAUUAAAAUGAAGGACUAAAAAAUAUUUGAUUAACCCAGAAGAAAGCAUGAAGGGAAAAACAGAGCAGAAAAAAAAACC
rnacentral:lncRNA from 1 species